AGCUUUGCGCGUGGCAGUAUCGUAGCCAAUGAGGUUUAUCCGAGGCGCGAUUAUUUCUAAUUGAAAACUUUUCAUAUAGAACUCCAAUUAGCAAUGAUAAAAAAAGCUAUACCAGGGCAUAUAAUAGUUGAGAUUCAACAAAUUCA
ensembl:snRNA U4 U4 spliceosomal RNA